GCCAUUUCUUGGGCCUCUCCCGCAGCAUAUGGAGGCUCCCAGGCUAGAGGUCGAAUCGGAGCUGUAGCCGCCGGCCUACACCAGAGCCACAGCAACGCGGGAUCUGAACCACGUCUGUAACCUACACCACAGUUCACGGCAACGCCAGGUCCCCAACCCACUGACCAAGGCCAGGGAUCGAACCUGCAACCCAAUGGUUCCUAGUCAGAUUUGUUAACCACUGCACCAUGACAGGAACUCCAGUCCGUGUAUUCUUUUUGCAAAAAUUAAAAGAUGUAUGAAUAGAAAAAUCUGGAAGGAUUCACACUGAUUGUGAGUAGUGGCUACCCCUGUGGUCAAAUGUUGAUGAGAUAAGGAGGGAAAGGAAACGUUUGCCAUCUUAGAUGCUCCUAGGUGUUUGCAAUGAGAAUGCGUCUGCGUGUUUAAAUAAAAGCGAAGUGUUUCAAUUUACAUUGCUCUUCACUUUUUACAAUAUAUUCGUGUAUAUAUAUAUAUAGUCAUUUAAAAAAUGUGUAUAGAUAAAAAUGUAACAAUGAUUAUCUCUGCAUGGUGGGACUAGGAUUUCGUUUAAAUUUCGCAUUGGGUAGCUCUUGGUAUUUUAUAACGUUCCGUGAUGAAUAUGCAUUACCUUUGUAAUUAUCAUAAAUUAUGUGAAUCCCUGGAGAAACAUCCUUCUCUCUGGAAUUUGGCUCUCUGAGCCACCCCACAUGGAAGAGACCGAAGGAAGAGGAUGUUCUUUUAUCUCACUAGGCAAAACAACACAUUCUCAACCUAAAACAUUUGGCUUGACCAGACACAAAUGGAAUGUUUGGUUUUCUGAAUAUACAGAGGUAUAUAUUCUUGGGUCUCCGAGGGUUUGGGCAUUAUUUGUUUGGGAAUGUGCUCAGGCAUCAAUCAACACAAGCUUCGCAGGCUUUUGUUUUGCUGGGGAGGCAAGGUGCUACAGGCGAAUGCACGAAUGAGACCCGGUCCUCUCCUUUAGGGCAAGGUCAGGAUCUAACGGAGCUGAGAAAUACACAUCCCCGGAAUAUGAAACUACACCCAACCCAACAUCUGAUGGUUUAUAGUGUUUAGUACCAAUGCGUAAGCAUUACAGGCACGAAGCAGAGUCAGAAGAAAUAAAAGGGCCGGAUAGGGUGCAUGGCCUCAUGGUCCACGUGCCUCAUUUGACACAGGACAUGCAUCAGCCUCAGGGAGCUAAUGGAAGCUGCUCAGCAGAGCUUGGAUAACUCCUGUUCUUGCAGAUAUUCUACUAGGCUAGAACUGCGUCCUCUAGGCAUUGUUGGCAUUUUGUAGCGGAAGGCUGCCCCGUGCCUUGCACGAUGUUUAGCAGCAUAUAAUCACUACAUGCAGAAAAUCAGCCAGUCCGAGGGAACCAAUGGAUGUUAGUGAUUUGGAAAAUAUAGGCAAAGUAGCAUAAAACUCAGGAAAUGCAGAUGUACUUAGACAUAAAAGGAAAUAGAAAGCCACUGUGAAGUCUGAAUAGGGAAAUGUCACCAUGAAAUAAUGUUUAAGGGAGAUUGACUUGUAUGCAACAUACGGAAAGAUUUUAUGGGAACAGACUGGAUUAAGGGAACAAGCUGGGGAGAAAGACUCCUUGGCAGCUAUGCGGGUGGAAUGGGGUAGUAACAAUGGGAAAAGAAAGAAGUAAUAAGAGAUUAGAUAUACUCUAUAGGGAACCUGGACUGGACAUGGCUUAAUACAGAAAAGGAAGGAGAAGAAUGAAUGAAAGAAGACAGUGUCUGAUCCUGGGAAACCACAAGGAUGGGGCUAAAAGUGACAGAAAUGGGAAUGUCAAGAAAGGAAGCCAGUUUUCAUUUGUAGGUGAUCAUGAGUUUCUUUAUCAACUUGGUGACUUUGCAGUCACAACGAGAUACCCAAAUAUUAAGGAUCACUAGGCAGCUAAAGACCAGAGUGGUGUAAGGUAACCAUCCUACAUUUACCAGUCCCAGGAGUGGAGAAAUGACCUCAAAAUGGUGAGGCCAAGUUUGUGGGUCACUGGUGAGUUUGCGAAUCUCCCUUCUACUUUAAAAAUACCACUUGCACAGGAGUUCUCAUUGUGGCACAGCGGAAACAAAUCCGACUAGGAACCAUGACGUUGCGGGUUCGAUCCCUGUCCUCGCUCAGUGGGUUAAUGAUCUGGUGUUGCCAUGAGCUGUGGAGUAGGUCGCAGAUGCGGCUCAGAUCCCGAGUUGCUAUGGCUGUGGUGUAGGCGGACAGCUGUAGCUCCGAUUCAAUCCCUAGCCUGGGAACCUCCAUAUGCAGGUGUGGCCCUAAAGAGCAAACAAACAAACAAAAAACCGCUUGUACAAAUAAUUCAAACUCACAAACGUAAAAAACAAAAACAAAACACCUAUGUGGUCCAGACCACAGGCACAAAGUGCUUCCCAUCCUACUAAUUUCUCAUUUAGCCUUUCCCUCCUGAAGAGCAUAUAGGACACAGGCUAAGGAGAGAAGAUUAUUUCUCUGAGGAGUUCAUUUUAUGUUUUCCGAUAUCAUCAUCAUGCAGAGGAAUUUAUUUACUGCCAAAUUAAACUCGAGCCCUAUCAGGGACUGCACAAAGAUAACUGCACAGAUGUGGUCCCUGGCUUCUAGAUGCUUACUGAUACAAAUAGGUAAAGCAUUUACAGAUAGGAUAACAAAUUCUAAACAGUGCAGAAAUAGGAAGUUUUCUCAUCAUGUCCAAGGUGAAAGUAUUGGGGAAGAAAGCCAUAGUGGAGAGAGAAUUCCAUAAUCAUACAAAAGGGCACUGGUGGCAAAGAAAUGUGAAAAUGAGGAGGUCGGGAAUCCCCCUCCCCCUCACUGAAUCACUGAAUGAUCUUCAGCAUCUCAGUUCAACUCAUGGAGUCUGCAUCUCUCCAUCUGUUAAAUGCCACUGAUAUUGUCUGCUUGAGGAUACAUGCAUCAAUUUACUUAUUCAACAAACACUGAAUUUUACCUCCAUAUGCCUGUCCCUGUGGGUGGAUCUAGAAGUAUAAAACUGAAAACAACAUAACCCUUACCUUUGGAGGAAGUUGAUUUAAAAAAAACAACACAUUUAACUGCAGGGAAUUGUGUCUGUUAGGAUGCACCUGACAAUAAGCAACAAAAGAUCCAACAUAAGGGGGCUUAAAUAAUAAAGAGAUUAUUAUCUCACAUCAAAAAAAGUCUCAAGACAAAAGGUUCUAGGGUUGAUUAAUUUCAGCGGCCAUGAAGGACCCAGGUAUCUUCUGCCUUUCUCCUCUGACAUCCUCAGUUUGUUGGCAUCAGUCUUCAUGGACAAAGAUGGUUGCUAUAGCUCCAGACAUCACAUCCUGAGGCAACCACCAGAUUGCAACUGUGAGGAUUCAGAGACGUCAUGAAUAUAUAGUACAACCUAGGCCCUGGCACAAAGAAAUUCCUCCUCGAGAUGUUAGUUUUUAUUAUUUUUUGAUAUUUUGUGAUACCAUUUUGCUCUUUUGAAACUACAGUCGUUUGCUAGGGCUGCCAUAACAAAGUAUUACACACUGAGAGGCUUGACCAAUGGAAAUGUAUUAUAUCACAGUUCUGAAGGCUAAAAUUAAGGCUGUCAGCAGGAGCAGUUCCUUCUGAGAUCUGUGAAGGAAGGAUCCGUUCUAAUCCUCCUCCUUGACUUGCAGCUGGCUGCCUUCUCCUCCUGUCUCUUCACAUUAUCUUCUCUCUCAUUAUCUUUUUCUCUUCAGUGGUAUUCUUUUUAUAAGGACACCAGUUCUAGAGAAUUAAGGGCUCAUUCGAUUCCAGUAUGACCUCUUUCUAACUAAUUACAUCUCUUAAUGACCCUAUUUCCAAAUAAGUUCACAUUGUGAGGCACUGGGGUUAGGACCUCAACAUAAGAAUUUUGGGGUGAGGGCAAAAUUCAACCUGUAACAUUUGCUCAUCAAUGGGCUUUAGUGCAGGUAUCUCAAUCAAUACUUUUUAGAGGACCUUUCCAGAGAUAGGAAAUAGGUGGGGAAAUGAGAACCCGGUCAAGAGUUCAGCACACUAGAUCUCCCUUCUAGAUGCCAAAUUCUCUUCUUCUGACGAUGGGUGGAUUUAUGACGCACUUGGCGGUGAAAGCCUUUGCGGGAAAUUUUGUAGACACCAAGCUCUUUUUAUAAAGAAUUACAGUGUCUUCUCUUGGUUUUAUUUCCUUGACUCUUUUCCCCUCCAACUUCAUCUCACUUAGUCCCAUGCCCUUUUCAAGAAAAAUAAUAAUAAUCUUAUGGUAUUCAUGUGUAUUUCUUCCCAAUAUGCAGGAGGAAAACAGACAGCCAAGAGUCUGUGUGAGUCUGUGAGUAUAUUCCUGUUUGGUGCCAUCCUUUUCUGCUGGUAGAGAACUAACUGUGCCUGGCAUCUGGCCACAGUGUAUGGAGACCACAGUAUAAAACGAAAGCAUGAUACUCUUUUUUUUUUUUUUUUUAACCCAAGUUGCACAUUCUCCUGGGUAAGCUAUUAAAAGUGAGUGCCCUCUGUUGCUUGAGGGAAACACCGAGACCAUCUGGAUGGUCUGCCUCUCUUCCAUGUGGGGCCCCCCAUCACUCUGUCCUUGGCCUGGAGGGCAGUUGGAUGGGCAAGAGGGCUGGGUUUCAUUUCUGGAAGAGAGAGCAGCUGAGAGGGGAUCUCGUUGGGGCUCUCCUUCCUGCUCCUCAGCAGGACUGCAGGCUUCUUCAUUACGCCCAGCUGAGAGACUGUCUGGCCUCGGCCCCCUCACCUCCCCCAGCGCCUGUCUCCCUCCCACAUCCUGCAUCCUUCCCUUCCACCAGCUCUGUGAGUAUUGGGGACCUGAAGCUUUCUGACUUUGUAAACUGGGACCUUCUACCCCAGAGCUGCUGCUUAGAGUCCACCCUGGCCCAUUCCCUGCAUCGCAUUCCAUCAGCGGGAUGGAGAACUUGGUACUUGCCCCGCCACUCAAUUAGAACCAUCAAGUGCAUUCCUUGGGAUUCCACACAGAGGCCUUAUAUGGUCGCAUGUACCAUUUUUUAAUUUCAAGCUCAGCUUUCUGCAAAUGAAAUUAAAGACUUCUCCUUUCUCUUUUAAUGCUUACCAUUAAUAUUUUUUGAAGGAGAAAUGGGAAAAAAAAAAAAGUUUUAGCAUCUCCAACAGUGUGUUCCAUGAGUUUCCUGGUGGGAGGUGAUAAAGGCAUUUUUUUUUAACUGACUAAAAAUGGUUAGCCACAACACCAUGGAAAUAUCUCAGAAUGUUUUAAAAUGAAAAAAAAAUGUCUGUGACAUGGAAAUAGCAAUUGAGAGGGGGGUCCAGGGGUUACCGGCGGCUUUGAAUGGCUGAUUUUAGCCUUCUCUGGACCUCCCCCAUGAUUUCCACACCAAUUUCCAUCGACUUCAAAAAAAAGCAAGCCUCCUGAGGUACAGAGAGGGGGGACAAGUAUGGGACCAUUUGUUAUUUUGGACACAGAUGAUUCCAACUGAGGGAGGACAUUAAAAUGUUUCAAGAAACACAGCCUUUGAAAUACAGCAAGAGGUUCACAUCUAUAACAGACUCUUCCGUAAUUUCAACCCCCUCCAUCGAGCGCAGAAGCCUUUUGUGACUCUGUCUGCCUCAGAUCCCACCCCCUAGGAAUCUUUUUAAGUCGUGGAAUUUAGCCGCAGCCUUUCCUGAUGCCUACCAACUCAUCGUGCCAUAUACAGAUCUAAGCAUACAAUUAUGGUAGACAACAUCCUAAAAACCUCCACCAUUUUAAA
rnacentral:lncRNA from 1 species